rnacentral:rRNA from 1 species
UACGUAGGGGCUAGCGUUGUCCGGAAUCAUUGGGCGUAAAGCGCGUGUAGGCGGUCCGGUAAGUCCGCUGUGAAAGUCGGGGGCUCAACCCUCGGAUGCCGGUGGAUACUGUCGGGCUUGAGUACGGAAGAGGCGAGUGGAAUUCCUGGUGUAGCGGUGAAAUGCGCAGAUAUCAGGAGGAACACCAAUUGCGAAGGCAGCUCGCUGGGACGUUACUGACGCUGAGACGCGAAAGCGUGGGAAGCAAACAGG